AUAUAUAAUAAUUCAUAUAACAUGCAUUUAUCCUUUUUGGUAAUCUUUGGUCUCUUCUGUAUAUCUGAAUUUCUAUGUGGUGCAAUUUUCUUUAGUCUGAAAGACUUUCUGUAACAUUUAAACAGUGUAGUUCUACUAACAUUAAAUCUCUCACUUUCAAAAAUUCUAAACCUAUUUUAGCUUUAAUUUAAAAGAAUAAUUUAUCUGAUCUAUGGAUUUCUUGAAUAAUAGCUGCUUUUCUUUCAGAACUUUAAAUGGGGUCAUUCCCAUAUCAUCAAGCCUCUGUCGUUUCUGAGGAAAAGUCAGGCAUCCCGCUAAGGAGACUGAAGCCAGAGAAUUGCAAGUUCAAGGCCCACCUGGGCAACUUAGUGAGACCUUGUCUCAAAAUAAACUAUAAAAAGGCUGAGAAUGUGGGGAUAUAGCUCAAUGGUACAACGCCCCUAGGUUCAAUCCCCUAUACCCCCCCCAAAAAAAGGUCAAACAUCAAUCAUAAUAUAAUCCCUAUCAAUAUAAUAUAUCAUUUUUCUAUCAGUGCUUUAUUAUAUUAUUGGAUUUUCUUUUGUGAAUUUGGUGUGUCUGAGUAUGAUUUUCUCUAUUUUCCUUCUAUUUGGGUUUUAUAGAGCUUAGAUUUAUAAGUUCAUCGUUUUCAACAAAUUUAGGAAAUUUUACACUACUUUUUUUUUUCUGGCCAUUUCUCUGUCUUCUCCUUUCUGAUAUCUUUUUGUGCUGUCCCACUUGAAAUUUUGGCAAAAGUUUUUCAUUUUCUCCCUCUCUCACAUUCAGAUGGAAUACUUAUUAUUGGUCUAUCUUUAUACUAAUUUUGUUGUACCAUCUAAAAUCGAACUUGAUUUUACCAUCUGUUUUUUGUUUUAAUUAAGAUUUUUUUUUUAGCUUUAGAAUUUUUAGUUGUUUCAUAGUUUCCAUUUUGUUAGAAUAUUUUGCUCAAUAUUAUACCUUUUUCUUGAAUUACUUGAACAAUUUUUAAGUUUUUUAAAAAAUACAUAUUUACAAUACUAUUUGGAAGAUUAUAUCUAUUAUAUCUAACCCCUGACCACUUCAAGUUAGUUUCUAUUGACAAUUUUGAUCCUGAUUUUGUGUAUUUUUUUUAUAAAAACAUUUUUUUGUUGUUGUUGAAAACUGGACACUACAGCUAUUCUGGAACUUAUUUUGUUCUUCUGAGAAUUGCAGGUAUUUUUUUCUAAUACUCUGUGACUUGCCUGGGCUGUGAAGCUGCUUCUAUGAGGAGACAGGAGUCAUUUCAAGUAUAUUUGAAAAAUAAAUUUAACCAUUAUAGAAGAUGACCUUGUACUGUGUUAAUAUUUAAUGUGCACUAUUUAACACUGGUUUUUCAAGAUUAUGUCUGUCUUUAAAUAUUCAUCUUCAAUGACACUUGGAGAUAUCUAUAACUGAAGAUCAGUGUAUGAACCGGAAUGCUAAUGAGGAAACGAAGAAUGACCUAGCAGAGGGAAGUCAAAUUUCCAAUCCAAUGUCUCCUAAAUGUUUGCUGAGAAGGAGACUGAAGGUCAAAAAGCAGAAUUGCCCACAUCAUUCCAGAAAGAUUCAGAGACCAGAGGUCAAAACUCCCCUGAUGUCAGGGCUGAGGUAUGCAACUGCUAAAGGAUCUACAAUGGAGAAACCAGGCCCAAAGCCCCACUCUCAACUCAUACACACUAGAGAACCAGCUUCAGUACCUAGGAGAAAAAUUGAGGAUUGUUUCUGGAGAAACUGAAUCAAAGAGGCUCUGGAUUCCCUCCUCCAGACUUAGCAGAGGACAGGGCAACAAAAUGAUAAAAAGACUCCACUGAGGUGACACAUCCUUCAGACCAGUCUCUCCAUCUUCAGAUCCUAAAAGACCAAAUGUAGGAUUACUAAAAACUUUAAGAGAAAAAAGCAAUACAGAUUCAAUUAGUACUUUUGAUAGUCAUAGCAAAGCAAAUGUGUACUUGGUAGAAUGUAUAAAAGGCAUACUUGGUGGGAUUCCUGUUUGUUAUUUAUUUAUUAAGAACCCGAGAGAAACUAAA